AACGAACGCUGGCGGCGUGCCUAACACAUGCAAGUCAAACGGGUGUAGCAAUACACUAGUGGCGCACGGGUGAGUAAUACAUGGGAAUCUGCCAAGUGGAGGCGAAUAACUACGGGAAACUGUAGCUAAUACGCCGUAAGUAGCGAAAGCUAGAAAGGUUGGGACCGCAAGGCCAGCCGCCAUUUGAUGAGCCCAUGCCCCAUUAGCUAGUUGGCGGGGUAACAGCCCACCAAGGCGAAGAUGGGUAGCUAGUCUGAGAGGACGAUUAGCCACACUGGAACUGAGACACGGUCCAGACUCCUACGGGAGGCAGCAGUGGGGAAUAUUGCGCAAUGGGGGAAACCCUGACGCAGCAACGCCGCGUGAGUGAUGAAGGCCUUUGGGUUGUAAAGCUCUUUUGUCCGGAAAGAAAAGCAAUCGGUUAAUACCCGGUUGUUCUGACGGUACCGGAAGAAUAAGCACCGGCUAA
rnacentral:rRNA from 1 species